GACGAACGCUGGCGGCGUGCUUAACACAUGCAAGUCGAACGGAAAGGCCCUGCUUUUGUGGGGUGCUCGAGUGGCGAACGGGUGAGUAACACGUGAGUAACCUGCCCUUGACUUUGGGAUAACUUCAGGAAACUGGGGCUAAUACCGGAUAGGAGCUCCUGCUGCAUGGUGGGGGUUGGAAAGUUUCGGCGGUUGGGGAUGGACUCGCGGCUUAUCAGCUUGUUGGUGGGGUAGUGGCUUACCAAGGCUUUGAUGGGUAGCCGGCCUGAGAGGGUGACCGGCCACAAUGGGACUGAGAUACGGCCCAGACUCCUACGGGGGGCAGCAGUGGGGAAUAUUGCACAAUGGGCGGAAGCCUAAUGCAGCAACGCGGCGUGCGGGAUGACGGCCUUCGGGUUGUAAACCGCUUUCGCCUGUGACGAAGCGUGAGUGACGGUAAUGGGUAAAGAAGCACCGGCUAACUACGUG
rnacentral:rRNA from 1 species